rnacentral:rRNA from 1 species
GAUGAACGCUGGCGGCGUGCCUAACACAUGCAAGUCGAGCGAAGCGCUUAAAUUAGCUUUCUUCGGAAUGACGAUUUUUGUGACUGAGCGGCGGACGGGUGAGUAACGCGUGGGUAACCUGCCUCAUACAGGGGGAUAACAGUUAGAAAUGACUGCUAAUACCGCAUAAGACCCCAGCUUCGCAUGAAGCGGUGGUAAAAACUCCGGUGGUAUGAGAUGGACCCGCGUCUGAUUAGCUAGUUGGUAAGGUAACGGCUUACCAAGGCGACGAUCAGUAGCCGACCUGAGAGGGUGACCGGCCACAUUGGGACUGAGACACGGCCCAGACUCCUACGGGAGGCAGCAGUGGGGAAUAUUGCACAAUGGGGGAAACCCUGAUGCAGCGACGCCGCGUGAAGGAUGAAGUAUUUCGGGAUGUAAACUUCUAUCAGCAGGGAAGAAAGUGACGGUACCUGACUAAGAAGCCCCGGCUAACUACGUG